CAGCAGCCGCGGGAAUACGGAGGGUGCAAGCGUUAAUCGGAAUUACUGGGCGUAAAGCGCACGCAGGCGGUUUGUUAAGUCAGAUGUGAAAUCCCCGAGCUUAACUUGGGAACUGCAUUUGAAACUGGCAAGCUAGAGUCUUGUAGAGGGGGGUAGAAUUCCCGGUGUAGCGGUGAAAUGCGUAGAGAUCGGGAGGAACAUCAGUGGCGAAGGCGGCCAUCUGGGACAACACUGACGCUGAGGCACGAAAGCGUGGGGAGCAAACAGGAUUAGAUACCCCGGUAGUCCCUGUCUCUUAUAC
rnacentral:rRNA from 1 species